UGGUGACCUUUAAAGGCCCUUUCCCACCCACGGCAGUCUGUGAUGGCUGCUGUAUGGGUAUAUAAACGUCCAGAGAGCUCAGCUCAGGGGGUAAAUCCUCAAGGGAAGGGAUGAUGCUGACUGCUGCCACUGCUGGAAGGUGGAAACAAGAUCGUUUGGGAGCAGAGGAGUCUCCUCAGCUGUGUAAGCUUCACUCCUGCUACUCAGAAACGUGCCACACAGGAGCAGCUGGUGAAGCUGGGCUGUGCCAGCAGCAGGCAAACUCAGCCUGCCGGGGAUGUCCCACAACCUGCUUUUCCUUGAGGCUGGACUAGAUGACAUUCAGAGGUCCCUUCCAACCCAGACCACGGUAUGAUUCUAUGGCUCUGCCAUGCCUCUGAACACAGCUGCAGACCAGUGCACUACCCACUCGCUUUUUAGUUUAAAAAAUGCCCCAAUCUGUUAACUUCUCAGUGAGAGACUACUGUAAUUUUAUGGAGUUCACUCAUGUUUCUUCUCAAUGAAAACAUCCACCCCUUGAGCACUUGCCAGAGCACAACCCUGUCUCUCUUCCUGCUCCUUUAGUAUUUCUUCUCAUUUCCUCAGCUACCUUGAGGGGAGUUUUGGGGCGGUUUUUUUCACGAGUUUGCCCCCAAACCACCCAUCCCAGCUUCCACCCUUCUCUAGAGCUGCCCUCCCGAGCCCCAGGGCAGCUUUCCCAUGGCUCUUUGCCUCUCUCCAGCGCAGGGCUCCCCUCGGGGGAGCGGCUUUCUCCAUGAAGCCCACCCCGGGGCGAAGCGGCAAGGGGCUAAGUUUGCGAUGGCCGGGCCGGGGGCAAGACCCCCGGGUGGAAGUGACUGACGGCGAGGGCAAGCCCUCCUCCGGCUCAGCGCUGCCCCCCUGGGUAGGAAGCUGAGAAAGUGAGAGAGGAAAGAAGCGGAGCGAUCUCCGC